UAGGGAAUCUUCGGCAAUGGGGGCAACCCUGACCGAGCAACGCCGCGUGAGUGAAGAAGGUUUUCGGAUCGUAAAGCUCUGUUGUAAGAGAAGAACGUGUGUGAGAGUGGAAAGUUCACACAGUGACGGUAACUUACCAGAAAGGGACGGCUAACUACGUGCCAGCAGCCGCGGUAAUACGUAGGUCCCGAGCGUUGUCCGGAUUUAUUGGGCGUAAAGCGAGCGCAGGCGGUUUAAUAAGUCUGAAGUUAAAGGCAGUGGCUUAACCAUUGUUCGCUUUGGAAACUGUUAAACUUGAGCGCAGAAGGGGAGAGUGGAAUUCCAUGUGUAGCGGUGAAAUGCGUAGAUAUAUGGAGGAACACCGGUGGCGAAAGCGGCUCUCUGGUCUGUAACUGACGCUGAGGCUCGAAAGCGUGGGGAGCAAACAGG
rnacentral:rRNA from 1 species